GACAGAGGGUGCAAACGUUGUUCGGAAUUACUGGGCGUAAAGCGUGUGUAGGCGGUCCUGUAAGUCGGGUGUGAAAGCCCUGGGCUCAACCCAGGAAGUGCACUCGAAACUGCGGGGCUAGAGUAUCGGAGAGGUUGGUGGAAUUCUCGGUGUAGAGGUGAAAUUCGUAGAUAUCGAGAGGAACACCGGCGGCGAAGGCGGCCAACUGGACGAAUACUGACGCUGAGACACGAAAGCGUGGGGAGCAAACAGG
rnacentral:rRNA from 1 species